rnacentral:rRNA from 1 species
AGUGAACGCUGGCGGUAGGCCUAACACAUGCAAGUCGAACGGCAGCACAGUAAGAGCUUGCUCUUACGGGUGGCGGGUGGCGGACGGGUGAGGAAUACAUCGGAAUCUACUUUUUCGUGGGGGAUAACGUAGGGAAACUUACGCUAAUACCGCAUACGACCUACGGGUGAAAGCAGGGGAUCUUCGGACCUUGCGCGAUUGAAUGAGCCGAUGUCGGAUUAGCUAGUUGGCGGGGUAAAGGCCCACCAAGGCGACGAUCCGUAGCUGGUCUGAGAGGAUGAUCCGCCACACUGGAACUGGGAAACGGUCCAGACUCCUACGGGAAGCAGCAGUGGGGAAUAUUGGACAAUGGGCGCAAGCCUGAUCCAGCCAUACCGCGUGGGUGAAGAAGGCCUUCGGGUUGUAAAGCCCUUUUGUUGGGAAAGAAAAGCAGCAGGUUAAUACCCCGCUGUUCUGACGGUACCCAAAGAAUAAGCACCGGCUAACUUCGUG